rnacentral:rRNA from 1 species
GUCCUAAGUUAUAAGCAAUUAUACCGUGAAACUGCGAAUGGCUCAUUAAAUCAGUUAUCGUUUAUUUGAUAAUACCUUACUACUUGGAUAACCGUGGUAAUUCUAGAGCUAAUACAUGCUGAAAAUCCCGACUUCGGAAGGGAUGUGUUUAUUAGAUAAAAAACCAAUGCCCUUCGGGGCUCUUUGGUGAUUCAUGAUAACUUUACGGAUCGCAUAGCCUUGCGCUGGCGACGGUUCAUUCAAAUUUCUGCCCUAUCAACUUUCGAUGGUAAGGUAUUGGCUUACCAUGGUUUCAACGGGUAACGGGGAAUUAGGGUUCGAUUCCGGAGAGGGAGCCUGAGAAACGGCUACCACAUCCAAGGAAGGCAGCAGGCGCGCAAAUUACCCAAUCCCGACACGGGGAGGUAGUGACAAUAAAUACUGAUACAGGGCUCUUUUGGGUCUUGUAAUUGGAAUGAGUACAAUUUAAACCUCUUAACGAGGAACAAUUGGAGGGCAAGUCUGGUGCCAGCAGCCGCGGUAAUUCCAGCUCCAAUAGCGUAUAUUAAAGUUGUUGCAGUUAAAAAGCUCGUAGUUGAAACUUGGGCCUGGCUGGCGGGUCCGCCUCACCGCGUGCACUCGUCCGGCCGGGCCUUCCUUCUGAAGAACCUCAUGCCCUUCACUGGGCGUGUUGGGGAAUCAGGACUUUUACUUUGAAAAAAUUAGAGUGUUCAAAGCAGCCUUUGCUCGAAUACGUUAGCAUGGAAUAAUAAAAUAGGGCGUGCGUUUCUAUUUUGUUGGUUUCUAGAGACGCCCGCAAUGAUUAACAGGAACAGCCGGGGGCAUCAGU